UUACGGUACAGAGUCAAUGUGGAGACUAUAUACAGGGUGUUAUGGUACAGAGUCAAUGUGGAGACUAUAUACAGGGUAUUACGGUACAGAGUCAAUGUGGAGACUAUAUACAGGGUAUUACGGUACAGAGUCAAUGUGGAGGCUAUAUACAGGGUAUUACGGUACAGAGUCAAUGUGGAGGCUAUAUACAGGGGGUACCAGUACAGAGUCAAUAUGGAGGCUAUAUACAGGGGGUACCGGUACAGAGUCAAUGUGGAGGCUAUAUACAGGGUGUUACGGUACAGAGUCAAUGUGGAGGCUAUAUACAGGGGGUACCGGUACAGAGUCAAUGUGAGGCUAUAUACAGGAUGUUACGGUACAGAGUCAAUGUGGA
ensembl:lncRNA